rnacentral:rRNA from 1 species
AUACGGAGGGUGCAAGCGUUAAUCGGAAUUACUGGGCGUAAAGCGUACGUAGGCGGUCCGUUAAGUUAGAUGUGAAAGCCCCGGGCUUAACCUGGGAACUGCAUUUAAAACUGGCGAACUAGAGUUGAGUAGAGGGGAGUGGAAUUUCAGGUGUAGCGGUGAAAUGCGUAGAGAUCUGAAGGAACACCAGUGGCGAAGGCGACUCCCUGGACUCGAACUGACGCUGAGGUACGAAAGCGUGGGUAGCAAACGGGAUUAGAUACCCCAGUAGUCC